CAACUCAUUCUCUAGAUGCCGACACUUGACGGCUUCUUUAUGCAUUUUUUUAUUUUUAUUUAUAAUCACUUAUAAUUUUAAUUUAAUAUAAUAAAAUAAUAAAAUUUAUUUAUCUAUUUAUUAUGUUAAUUUUUUAUUUUUAUUUUUUUAAUUUAUAAAAAAUAUUAUAGAUAUAAAUUAAAAAAUAUAUUCAUAAAUUAUUUUUAAAAAAAAUAUGAUUAAAUUAUUAACGAUAAAAU
rnacentral:lncRNA from 1 species